rnacentral:rRNA from 1 species
UACAGAGGUCCCAAGCGUUGUUCGGAUUCAUUGGGCGUAAAGGGCGCGUAGGCGGCGGGGUAAGUCUGGUGUGAAAUCUCGGAGCUCAACUCCGAAAUUGCACUGGAUACUGCUCUGCUAGAGGGCUGGAGAGGAGAUCGGAAUUCACGGUGUAGCAGUGAAAUGCGUAGAUAUCGUGAGGAAGACCAGUGGCGAAGGCGGAUCUCUGGACAGCUCCUGACGCUGAGGCGCGAAGGCUAGGGGGAGCAAACGGGG